CAGAUGAGAAGCUUGCUUCUCUGAUGUUAGCGGCGGACGGGCUGAGUAACACGUGGGUAACCUACCUAUAAGACUGGGAUAACUCCGGGAAACCGGGGCUAAUACCGGAUAAUAUUUUGAACCGCAUGGUUCAAUAGUGAAAGACGGUUUCGGCUGUCACUUAUAGAUGGACCCGCGCCGUAUUAGCUAGUUGGUAAGGUAACGGCUUACCAAGGCGACGAUACGUAGCCGACCUGAGAGGGUGAUCGGCCACACUGGAACUGAGACACGGUCCAGACUCCUACGGGAGGCAGCAGUAGGGAAUCUUCCGCAAUGGGCGAAAGCCUGACGGAGCAACGCCGCGUGAGUGAUGAAGGUCUUCGGAUCGUAAAACUCUGUUGUUAGGGAAGAACAAAUUUGUUAGUAACUGAACAAGUCUUGACGGUACCUAACCAGAAAGCCACGGCUAACUACGUGCCAGCAGCCGCGGUAAUACGUAGGUGGCAAGCGUUAUCCGGAAUUAUUGGGCGUAAAGCGCGCGUAGGCGGUUUCUUAAGUCUGAUGUGAAAGCCCACGGCUCAACCGUGGAGGGUCAUUGGAAACUGGGAAACUUGAGUGCAGAAGAGGAGAGUGGAAUUCCAUGUGUAGCGGUGAAAUGCGCAGAGAUAUGGAGGAACACCAGUGGCGAAGGCGGCUCUCUGGUCUGUAACUGACGCUGAUGUGCGAAAGCGUGGGGAUCAAACAGGAUUAGAUACCCUGGUAGUCCACGCCGUAAACGAUGAGUGCUAAG
rnacentral:rRNA from 2 species